GACAGAGGUGCCAAGCGUUAGGCGGAAUCACUGGGCUUAAAGCGUGUGUAGGCGGACUUGUAAGUACCUUGUGAAAUCCCACGGCUCAACCGUGGAACUGCUUGGUAUACUGCUUGUCUUGAGCCACUUAGGGGCUACCGGAACAAAUGGUGGAGCGGUGAGAUGCGUAGAUAUCAUUUGGAACGCCAAUGGUGAAAACAGGUAGCUGGGAGUGUGCUGACGCUGAGACACGAAAGCCAGGGGAGCGAACGGG
rnacentral:rRNA from 1 species